GAAUGCAAACAUUUCCAGACUAUGAGAUUUGGGUCACUAAAGCAGAGGACUUGGGUUUGGUAUAACUCUGAAAAAAAGCCAACUGGAUUCCAUUUAUACAGAGCAAGCCAAAAUGUGAUCCAUGGCAAAAGAAGCUUUUGAUAAAACUAAAAGAACGGAAAUGAAUAGAUGCAUUAAUGCAACUCCAAGCAAAGUUUUUGAAGAUUUCUGACCCUGAGUGAGUAAUGCAGGUGCUCCAAGACCAUGCAACAAAGACAGCCACGCUGGCUCCACACCAUCCAUCUUCUGUGGCUUCCCAGGG